UUAACGCUAAGGACCGCCGCCGUGAGGAGAGGCUCUUGGGUUGUAAACCUCUUUUCUCUGGGAAGAACAAAAUGACGGUACCAGAGGAAUCAGCAUCGGCUAACUCCGUGCCAGCAGCCGCGGUAAGACGGAGGAUGCAAGCGUUAUCCGGAAUGAUUGGGCGUAAAGCGUCCGCAGGUGGCAAUUCAAGUCUGCUGUUAAAGCGCAGGGCUUAACUCUGUAAAGGCAGUGGAAACUGAAUAGCUAGAGUGUGGUAGGGGUAGAGGGAAUUCCCAGUGUAGCGGUGAAAUGCGUAGAGAUUGGGAAGAACAUCGGUGGCGAAGGCGCUCUACUGGACCAUAACUGACACUCACAGGACGAAAGCUAGGGGAGCGAAAGGGAUUAGAUACCCCUGUAGUCA
rnacentral:rRNA from 1 species